rnacentral:tRNA from 2 species
CAGGGAUUAGCUCAGUUUGGCAGAGUGCCGCACCCGGACUGCGGAAGCCGAAGGUUCGAAUCCUUCAUCCCUGACCA